AACCCAGGGUGAGGGCAUCUUCGUAAAAGGUCCUUGUAUCUCUCCCAUGCAUCGUAGAGUGUUUCUAAAUCCCUCUGCACAAAAGAGGAGAUAUCAUUACGUAAGUU
rfam:Gossypium arboreum cultivar AKA8401 contig_25778_5, whole genome shotgun sequence.